rnacentral:rRNA from 1 species
UACGGAAGGCAGCAGUGGGGAAUAUUGCACAAUGGGCGCAAGCCUGAUGCAGCCAUGCCGCGUGUAUGAAGAAGGCCUUCGGGUUGUAAAGUACUUUCAGUCGUGAGGAGGGUGUUAAGGUUAAUAACCUUAGCAAUUGACGUUAGCGACAGAAGAAGCACCGGCUAACUCCGUGCCAGCAGCCGCGGUAAUACGGAGGGUGCGAGCGUUAAUCGGAAUUACUGGGCGUAAAGGGCACGCAGGCGGUUAAUUAAGUUGGAUGUGAAAUCCCCGGGCUUAACCUGGGAAUGGCAUUCAAGACUGGUUAGCUAGAGUCUUGUAGAGGGGGUAGAAUUCCAUGUGUAGCGGUGAAAUGCGUAGAGAUGUGGAGGAAAUACCGGUGGCGAAGGCGGCCCCUGGCAAAGACUGACGCUCAUGUGCGAAAGCGUGGGGAGCAAACAGGAUUAGAUACC